rnacentral:tRNA from 1 species
GCAAGGGGCUGCACAGUCCGGUCAAGCAUUGUGGCCUUUCGAGUCGCAGAUCCCGGGUUCAAAUCCCGGCCGGAGCA